rnacentral:other from 1 species
AUUACCCUGCUGUGUUCGUGAUGCUGCAACUGCGGUUUUGCGCCAACAGUUUACAAACGGAUCUUAAUCUUUCAGUGGUGACGCGAUAGGCUUCGGCCAAGGCGGAUUCACUGGGUCGGGAUCCUACCUGCUUAUGCAGGUGCAAAACUAUGCAGCACAUCGGCAUAGCGGGGGUUUU